rnacentral:rRNA from 1 species
CGAAAGCCUGACGGAGCAAGACCGCGUGAGGGAGGAAGGCUCUUGGGUUGUAAACCUCUUUUCUCUGGGAAGAACAAAAUGACGGUACCAGAGGAAUCAGCAUCGGCUAACUCCGUGCCAGCAGCCGCGGUAAGACGGAGGAUGCAAGCGUUAUCCGGAAUGAUUGGGCGUAAAGCGUCCGCAGGUGGCAAAUCAAGUCUGCUGUUAAAGCGCAGGGCUUAACUCUGUAAAGGCAGUGGAAACUGAUUAGCUAGAGUAUGGUAGGGGUAGAGGGAAUUCCCAGUGUAGCGGUGAAAUGCGUAGAGAUUGGGAAGAACAUCGGUGGCGAAGGCGCUCUGCUGGACCAUAACUGACACUCACAGGACGAAAG